rnacentral:rRNA from 1 species
AACCGUCCAGAUUCUUCGGGGAGCAGCAUUGGGAAUAUUCCCAAUGGGGCAAGCCUGAUGCAGCCAUGCCGCGUGUAUGAAGAAGCCUUCGGGUUGUAAAGUACUUUCAGCAGUGAGGAAGGUGGGUAUGUUAAUAGCAUACACAUUUGACGUUAGCUGCAGAAGAAGCACCGGCUAAUUCCGUGCCAGCAGCCGCGGUAAUACGGAGGGUGCGAGCGUUAAUCGGAAUUACUGGGCGUAAAGCGCAUGCAGGUGGUUUGUUAAGUCAGAUGUGAAAGCCCGGGGCUCAACCUCGGAAUUGCAUUUGAAACUGGCAAACUAGAGUACUGUAGAGGGGGGUAGAAUUUCAGGUGUAGCGGUGAAAUGCGUAGAGAUCUGAAGGAAUACCGGUGGCGAAGGCGGCCCCCUGGACAGAUACUGACACUCAGAUGCGAAAGCGUGGGGAGCAAACAGGAUUAGAUACCCUGGUAGUCCACGCCGUAAACGAUGUCUACUUGGAGGUUGUGGCCUUGAGCCGUGGCUUUCGGAGCUAACGCGUUAAGUAGACCGCCUGGGGAGUACGGUCGCAAGAUUAAAACUCAAAUGAAUUGACGGGGGCCCGCACAAGCGGUGGAGCAUGUGGUUUAAUUCGAUGCAACGCGAAGAACCUUACCUACUCUUGACAUCUACAGAAGCCAGCGGAGACGCAGGUGUGCCUUCGGGAACUGUAAGACAGGUGCUGCAUGGCUGUCGUCAGCUCGUGUUGUGAAAUGUUGGGUUAAGUCCCGCAACGAGCGCAACCCUUAUCCUUGUUUGCCAGCACUUCGGGUGGGAACUCCAGGGAGACUGCCGGUGAUAAACCGGAGGAAGGUGGGGACGACGUCAAGUCAUCAUGGCCCUUACGAGUAGGGCUACACACGUGCUACAAUGGCGCAUACAGAGGGCGGCCAACUUGCGAAAGUGAGCGAAUCCCAAAAAGUGCGUCGUAGUCCGGAUUGGAGUCUGCAACUCGACUCCAUGAAGUCGGAAUCGCUAGUAAUCGUGGAUCAGAAUGCCACGGUGAAUACGUUCCCGGGCCUUGUACACACCGCCCGUCACACCAUGGGAGUGGGCUGCAAAAGAAGUGGGUAGUUUAACCUUCGGGAGGACGCUCACCACUUUGUGGUUCAUGACUGGGGUGAAGUCGUAACAAGGUAACCG